CCUCACGGGAGGCAGCAGUGGGGAAUAUUGCACAAUGGGCGGAAGCCUGAUGCAGCAACGCCGCGUGAGGGAUGACGGCCUUCGGGUUGUAAACCUCUUUUAGCAGGGAAGAAGCGAAAGUGACGGUACCUGCAGAAAAAGCACCGGCUAACUACGUGCCAGCAGCCGCGGUAAUACGUAGGGUGCAAGCGUUACCGGAAUUAUUGGGCGUAAAGAGCUCGUAGGCGGUUUGUCGCGUCUGCUGUGAAAUCCCGAGGCUCAACCUCGGGCCUGCAGUGGGUACGGGCAGACUAGAGUGCGGUAGGGGAGAUUGGAAUCCUGGUGUAGCGGUGGAAGCGCAGAUACAGAGACACGAGGCGAGGCAGUCUCUGGGCCGUACUGAGCUGAGACGAAGGGUGGGGAGCAACAGCUUAAACCUGGUAUCCACCCGUAACGUUGGACUAUUGUGGGUUCCUUUCCCGGUUCCGGUACCACUACGCCUUCGUUCCCCGCCGGCCCCUGCCGGCGACGGAGGAUC
rnacentral:rRNA from 1 species